UGCACUUUUGCACUGUUUCCAAACAUCUUAAUGCACUAUAUAGUCUCUGGAGCAAAACACCUUAUGUGUGUUUUGUAAGGUUGCCAACUUUUGGACCAAGACUUGUUUAUAUAUCUAUAUAGGAGCUGGAUCUGCAAAACUACUCUCUGUGAUUUCAUAAUGAUUUACCAAAAGGAUGUAACAUUCAAAAAUGGAAACUUGUAUAGAAAGGAACAGAUAGCAGUUGGCGCUCAACGAUUGACUGAUCAUUUCUCUUUGGAUGUAUUGGCUUUUAAGAACGAUAUGUUGAUUCAGAAAGUCCCAAGUGAGCAACAUGAAAUUUGUUUCAUCUACACAGUCCAUGGAAUUUUAAUUUAUUCCUUGGGGUCAGUGAAUUUUCGCAAAGGUGUGUGA
rnacentral:lncRNA from 11 species